AGACCCGAAACCCGGUGAUCUAGCCAUGGGCAGGUUGAAGGUUGGGUAACACUAACUGGAGGACCGAACCGACUAAUGUUGAAAAAUUAGCGGAUGACCUGUGGCUGGGGGUGAAAGGCCAAUCAAACCGGGAGAUAGCUGGUUCUCCCCGAAAGCUAUUUAGGUAGCGCCUCGUGAAUUCAUCUCCGGGGGUAGAGCACUGUUUCGGCUAGGGGGCCAUCCCGGCUUACCAACCCGAUGCAAACUGCGAAUACCGGAGAAUGUUAUCACGGGAGACACACGGCGGGUGCUAACGUCCGUCGUGAAGAGGGAAACAACCCAGACCGCCAGCUAAGGUCCCAAAGUCAUGGUUAAGUGGGAAACGAUGUGGGAAGGCCCAGACAGCCAGGAUGUUGGCUUAGAAGCAGCCAUCAUUUAAAGAAAGCGUAAUAGCUCACUGGUCGAGUCGGCCUGCGCGGAAGAUGUAACGGGGCUAAACCAUGCACCGAAGCUGCGGCAGCGAACGUAUCACUUAAAGCGAUUCAGCGGGUUACGAUUGACGGAGCGAAGCGACGUCAAAGCGUAUACAAAGUCGAGUCGGUUUAAGGAUACGUUCGUUGGGUAGGGGAGCGUUCUGUAAGCCUGUGAAGGUGGCCUGUGAGGGUUGCUGGAGGUAUCAGAAGUGCGAAUGCUGACAUAAGUAACGAUAAAGCGGGUGAAAAGCCCGCUCGCCGGAAGACCAAGGGUUCCUGUCCAACGUUAAUCGGGGCAGGGUGAGUCGACCCCUAAGGCGAGGCCGAAAGGCGUAGUCGAUGGGAAACGGGUUAAUAUUCCCGUACUUGGUGUUACUGCGAAGGGGGGACGGAGAAGGCUAUGUUGGCCGGGCGACGGUUGUCCCGGUUUAAGCGUGUAGGUGUGUGUUCCAGGUAAAUCCGGUUCACUUUAACACUGAGGCGUGACGACGAGGCACUACGGUGCUGAAGCAACAAAUGCCCUGCUUCCAGGAAAAGCCUCUAAGCAUCAGGUAACAUCAAAUCGUACCCCAAACCGACACAGGUGGUCAGGUAGAGAAUACCAAGGCGCUUGAGAGAACUCGGGUGAAGGAACUAGGCAAAAUGGUGCCGUAACUUCG
rnacentral:rRNA from 1 species